AUUAGAACUUCAAACCUGUCAAUUAGGGAAGCGAGGAAGUGGAACCUGCCAAUUGCUAGCGUGUGGCUGCGGCACGUUGCAUUACGAAUCCCAGAUUUCCUGUGCGUAAGCAUAUCGUGAACACACCUCCUUUGCAUUCAGGUUUUAGUUCGAUCAUGAGGUCAUUUGUAUGAGUAUAUAUGUAACAAUGUCAUAUGCUUCAGGCCAUUUAGUACAUGUGUAUGGGUAUAUAUGUACCAAUGUCAUAUGCUUCAGGUCAUGGAGUACAUUCAUGACGUUUUGACGAACACAUGCUAUCAGUUGCAAGUAACAGCAAUUCUCCCAUUUGGUGGAUUCAUCAUAAUGUGAAUAUAUAGGCCGGCGGAUGCGGUGAUGCAGAGCUCGGCGUCGGAGGCCAGGAAGGCGGCACGGCACUGCAGGAACUGGGUUAUCAUGCCGCCAUCUGCCCUUGAUAGAAAUUGGAGAUGGCCCAUCCCGUUGAUUCCCCCUCUACUCUGCAUGUUCCGUUAUGUUUGAUUUUGAGGGAUGGCUCACGUCUUCACCUCUGGUCACAGAUUUAUACAGGAAAAACUGGAUGGGCGUGGCCUCCCUGUAUUGUUGGCGGCACAAACUUCUGCAUUCAGGCUGAAGGACAAUGGACCCGAGGAGGCUAAGACUUGAUGAGUUCUUACUGAGCAGAUCAGCUAUAUAUCCGUUCAACAAUUAUUAAAACCUGCAGAUAAUAGGAGACAAGCUGGAAUGGCAUAAUCUUGGCCUGGUGUUUAGAUAACCUUGUAAUCUCAUCUUUAGGCAUAUUUUGUACAGAAAAGUUUUGUGUUUGCCUCCCCGAUUUGGUCUGAUGGAUGAUCAGGCUGCCAAGGCAUUCCAUCCCUUCUCCAUUUAAUAGGCUAAGGUGAGUUGUCUAGCAUUACUCCAUUUAAAUGAUGAAUCACCCUUAAAUAUCAGGGGUUGGAGACUAA